GAUCAUAGCUCAGGAUGAACGCUGACAGAAUGCUUAACACAUGCAAGUCUACUUGAACUUCGGUUUGGGUGGCGGACGGGUGAGUAACGCGUAAAGAACUUGCCUCACAGUUAGGGACAACAUUUGGAAACGAAUGCUAAUACCUGAUAUUAUGAUUUUAGGGCAUCCUAAGAUUAUGAAAGCUAUAUGCGCUGUGAGAGAGCUUUGCGUCCCAUUAGCUAGUUGGAGAGGUAACGG
rnacentral:rRNA from 1 species